GCGGAAGUGGCGGAAUUGGCAGACGCGCUAGCCUCAGGAGCUAGUGGCCGAAAGGUCGUGGAGGUUCGAGUCCUCUCUUCCGCACCA
rnacentral:tRNA from 1 species